GACGAACGCUGGCGGCGUGCCUAAUACAUGCAAGUUUAGCGCUGAGUGUUGUUACUUGUGCCAGCUGGAUGAGCAGCGCACGGGUGAGUAACGCGGGGGGGAUCUCACUUUGAGCGGGGGACAACAUUUGGAAACUAAGGCUAAUACCGCAUAAAAGCUUUAAACACAAGUUUUACGUUUGAAUGAUUCAAUUGCAUCACUCAAAGAUGAUCCCGGGUUGGAUUAGCUAGUGGGUGGGGUAAAGGCUCACCAAGGCGAUGAUACAUAGCCGACCUGAGAGGGUGAUCAGUAGCAUGGGGAAUGAGACAAGGCCCAACAUUCUAAGGGAGGCAGCAGUAGGGAAUCUUCGGCAAUGGACGAAAGUCUAACCGAGCAAAGCCGCGUGAGUGAAGAAGGUCUUCGGAUCGUAAAACUAGGUUGGUAGAGAAGAACGUUGGUGAGAGUGCAAAGCACAUGAAGUGACGGUAACUACCCAGAAAGCGACGGCUAACUACGUG
rnacentral:rRNA from 1 species